ACUCUCUCUUGAGCCAGUACAGAAGCCAAGGGUCCCUCGCAGAGUGGGGAAAGGAUACAUCUGUCCCUCAGAACCACUCCUGCCUCCAGGUUCCUAACCUGAGUUCCCUCAAGGAUAAACUGUGAUCAGGACAGGUCCCUAUCUCACCACUGUGGAACAUCACAGGACUGGCAAUGGCUGAGGCUAACAUGGCUCCCCCAGGUUUUUGGAGGGAAGGAUCAAGGUAUCAUUCACACCUGCUCUCCAGGAUCUCUCUGACUGGAGG